rnacentral:lncRNA from 1 species
GGGAUUCCCUCGUUCGAGCUCCACUCUCCUCUUCCGCUCUCUCCUCUUCUCUGCGUGCACUCACCGUAAAUCCGCACUCCGGUGGCGCGCGGCUGGUGGUUUCUGGUCUUUCUCGUUCUCGACAAUGUCGGAAGGUAAUCAAAGUUUUUUUUUCUGGUCGCCGGUUGAGCGGUGUUCUGAAUUCCUUCCCUGAAGAGUCCGUUUAAUUUAAUGGCAGAUUAGAAAAUAUGUCCGUCUUGAUUCUUAGAGAUAGUUCAUGGGAUUUUUCCCAGACCAGAUUCCUUAAAUCUUCAUGAGGUUUGGGCCGUAGCGCAUCGUGCUGUCGCCGUUUUUGGGAUGAGAACUUUGUCUUACCGCUUGUCCUCUGCGUGCUGUGAAUCACUGUGGGGGAAAACAGACCCGUGUUAGAACGAAAGAAACACAUGAAAACGGAGACUGGCGGAUGAUGAGGUGGUGCUGGUGGAGCUAGCUACCUCGGCUAUCAACUCUGAUGACCCCGCGGAUGGAUUGACCUGUGUCGGCUAAAAGUUAUGGGAAACCCUAAAGUGCGAGGGUGUGGUAUGGCCUGGGGGGUGGAUGAUUUGAAAUAUUUGAAAAUGCAACUAGAAAUGUGUUUAAUGAAUCUAAGCUGUUACAAUGAAACAGUAG